rfam:Triticum urartu cultivar G1812 contig787386, whole genome shotgun sequence.
AAAAAAGCAGGAUGCUUUGCUCUCUAUAAGCAGUGUCCCCGUAAACUUUAGGAAGAUCACAUUGUCAUUGUUAUUGGGUGAACCGAUGGACACAGUACUUUGUGUUUUAUGUCUAUUGGUUCAGUAAAUGAAGACACAUUC